GCCGGGGUGGUGGAAAAGGUAGACACGCUGGGUUUAGGUUCCAGUCUUC
rnacentral:tRNA from 1 species